rnacentral:rRNA from 1 species
GAUGAACGCUGACAGAAUGCUUAACACAUGCAAGUCGACUUGAAUUUGGGUUUUUAACCUAGGUUUGGGUGGCGGACGGGUGAGUAACGCGUAAAGAACUUGCCUCACAGCUAGGGACAACAUUUGGAAACGAAUGCUAAUACCUAAUAUUAUGAUAAUAGGGCAUCCUAUAAUUAUGAAAGCUAUAAGCGCUGUGAGAGAGCUUUGCGUCCCAUUAGCUAGUUGGAGAGGUAACGGCUCACCAAGGCGAUGAUGGGUAGCCGGCCUGAGAGGGUGAUCGGCCACAAGGGGACUGGGACACGGCCCGUACUCCAACGGGGGGAAGCGGUGGGGAAUAUUGGACAAUGGACCGAGAGUGUGAUCCAGCAAUUCUGUGUGCACGAUGAAGUUUUUCGGAAUGUAAAGUGCUUUCAGUUGAGAAGAAACAAAUGACGGUACCAACAGAAGAAGUGACGGCUAAAUACGUG